rnacentral:tRNA from 1 species
UUCCUGGUGGUCCAAUGGCUAAGAUUCAGCACUUGCAAUACUGAGGGCCCGGGGUUCGAUCCCUGGUCAGGGAA